rnacentral:rRNA from 1 species
UCGGGAUAACACCUGGAAACAAGAUGCUAAUACCGGAUAACAACAGAUGAUGCCUAUCAACUGUUUAAAAGGAAUGGUUCUGCUAUCACUCUUGGAUGGACCUGCGGUGCAUUAGCUAGUUGGUAGGGUAACGGCCUACCAAGGCGAUGAUGCAUAGCCGAGUUGAGAGACUGAUCGGCCACAUUGGGACUGAGACACGGCCCAAACUCCUACGGGAGGCAGCAGAC